GAUCUCAAAUCAGGUAGGACUACCCGCUGAACUUAAGCAUAUCAAUAAGCGGAGGAAAAGAAACUAACAAGGAUUCCCCUAGUAGCGGCGAGCGAAGCGGGAAGAGCUCAAAUUUAUAAUCUGGCACCUUCGGUGUCCGAGUUGUAAUCUCUAGAAAUGUUUUCCGCGUUGGACCGCACACAAGUCUGUUGGAAUACAGCGGCAUAGUGGUGAGACCCCCGUAUAUGGUGCGGACGCCCAGCGCUUUGUGAUACAUUUUCGAAGAGUCGAGUUGUUUGGGAAUGCAGCUCAAAUUGGGUGGUAAAUUCCAUCUAAAGCUAAAUAUUGGCGAGAGACCGAUAGCGAACAAGUACCGUGAGGGAAAGAUGAAAAGCACUUUGGAAAGAGAGUUAACAGUACGUGAAAUUGUUGGAAGGGAAACGCUUGAAGUCAGACUUGCUUGCCGAGCAAUCGGUUUGCAGGCCAGCAUCAGUUUUCCGGGAUGGAUAAUGGUAGAGAGAAGGUAGCAGUUUCGGCUGUGUUAUAGCUCUCUGCUGGAUACAUCUUGGGGGACUGAGGAACGCAGUGUGCCUUUGGCGGGGGUUUCGACCUCUUCACACUUAGGAUGCUGGUGGAAUGGCUUUAAACGACCCGUCUUGAAACACGGACCAAGGAGUCUAACAUGCUUGCGAGUAUUUGGGUGUCAAACCCGGAUGCGUAAUGAAAGUGAAUGGAGGUGGGAACCGCAAGGUGCACCAUCGACCGAUCUGGAUUUUUAAUGAUGGAUUUGAGUAAGAGCACGUAUGUUGGGACCCGAAAGAUGGUGAACUAUGCCUGAAUAGGGCGAAGCCAGAGGAAACUCUGGUGGAGGCUCGUAGCGGUUCUGACGUGCAAAUCGAUCGUCAAAUUUGGGUAUAGGGGCGAAAGACUAAUCGAACCAUCUAGUAGCUGGUUCCUGCCGAAGUUUCCCUCAGGAUAGCAGAAACUCACAUCAGUUCUAUGAGGUAAAGCGAAUGAUUAGAGGCCUUGGGGUUGAAACAACCUUAACCUAUUCUCAAACUUUAAAUAUGUAGGAAGUCCUUGCUACUUAAUGAGCGAGGAC
rnacentral:rRNA from 1 species